rnacentral:snRNA from 1 species
AUGAGUAUCUUGGCCUUUUGGCUAAGAUUAAAUGUCGCAUUUUUGGCACCAAGGGUAGUUGUGCAGGGUGGAGGGGGCAGGUCAAGGCUGGCUCUGGUCCUCCUGGUGCUGGCCUGGUAUUGCAGUACCUCCAGGCCCAGUGCAAAUUCC